rnacentral:lncRNA from 1 species
UCAAGGUUUUCGUCCUCCGGAAAAUUGGGUGUACUCACCUAAUCAAAUUACUGGGUCUGCUUCUUCCCACGGAUCAGAAUCAGCCUCUCAGUGCCCUGCAAGAUAUGAAGAGAACAAUGUGGUUGAUAUCGAAGAGUCAAGUGACAACAGUCAAGAGGCAGGGAGGAGAGGAACACGAGUCAACUGGACUGAAGAGGAAAACAUAAGACUCCUUAGCUCUUGGCUGAAUAAUUCAGUGGAUCCUAUAAAUGGUAAUGAUAAGAAGGCAGAAUACUAUUGGAAGGCUGUAGCUGUAGAGUUUAAUAGCAAUACAUCUAGAAGUAACCGCAAAAGGACAGUUGUGCAAUGCAAGACACAUUGGGGUGGUGUUAAGAAGGAAAUUGGAAAAUUUUGUGGAGCUUAUUCUCGAGCUAGAAGCACCUUCAGUAGUGGAUAUUCUGAUGAUAUGAUCAUGGAGAAAGCUCAUAUUAUGUUUAAGUCAGAAAACAAUGAAAAACCUUUCACAUUGGAGUAUAUGUGGAGAGAACUGAAAGAUCAACCAAAAUGGCGAAGGGUCUUAGAAGAAGAUAGUAAGAAUAAGAGGACUAAGAUCUCUGAAUCAGGUGCAUACACAUCAUCGUCCAACCAAGACACGGAGGAGGAGAACAGACGCAAAAAGGAGAACAGACGCAAAAAGAAGCGCCCUGAGGGACAGAAAAAAGCCAAAGCCAAGUUAAAAGGGAGAGGUAAAAAUGUCGCACCUUCUCCUUUGGGAGACCAGCCAUGUCAAGACUUUGUUCUUUACAAUGAAGCUAUAAAAGUGAAAGCAGAAGCGAUGCUGAAAUCUGCAGAAGCAACAUCGAAAUCAGCUGAAGCAAAGAAGGAAUACACAAGAAUGGAGAAGUAUCAGACAUACUUAAAAUUGUUGGACAAAGACACUUCAAAUUUUAGUGAUGCAAAACUGAAGAGGCAUGAAGCUGUCCUCGAAAAGCUAGCUACAGAACUUGCUGAAGAAUAAAUGAUCACCAAGUGAUGUUGUAUCCCUGUUACUUAGUGUGCCACUAUGUGGUCUAUGAUCAAUUUGCUGCUAGGAUUUAGACUUAGCAAUUAUUAGACUUGUGAACUCAGUGUUAAGUUUGUAGGCUAAGUAAAUGUUGGAUUGUAAACUUAGUGAAUGAUGGUUGUAUCUUUGUACCUGUAGAAGAUGUUAUGUACUGAUAAUAUGUAGCCCACAGUCUUAAUUGAACUUAUUUGAAGUUGUUGGCCCAUAAUUUCUUAGCACUUGAUUUAACAGCAGCCUACAAAAUACAUAUGUAGCAGCAAUAAUUAGCACAAUUAUUUAUAAUCUUGCUGUUGUGAUAGUUUAAAAUAGUUGUAAAGCAAGACAUUGAUGUUUAUAAAACUGUUGUUUCAAUAUAUAAAAAGCAAGACAUGGAUGUUUAUAAAACUAUUGUUUAAAUAUAUAAAAAGCAAGACAUGGCUACUAAGAAUCUAGCUGUUGGAAUACAUCCAAACAGCAAGGCAUGCCUGCUGUGAAUCUAGCUGUUGGAAUACAUCCAAACAACAAGUCAUGACAUAGUUGUAUGGAAUAUAGCUGUUGGAAACUAGCUGUUGGAACAAAAGCAACACUGAGAUGUUAGCACAUAUCCAUUCAGUUGUAUCUUCUAUGAAACAGGGUAUGCAGUUCAGCAAGAUAUAUACCAUUGCCUUUAAUUCAGUUCAUUCUCAACAAAGCCACCUAGUUCCCACAAAGAUGUCUAGUGAUUCACAAGUCCAUUCUAGUCAUUCUGAUGAGUCCAUCACUAGUGAGAAUUUGGAAGAUAUGAUGUGGGAAGAAAUUAAUGAUCCUACUGAAGCUCAGCUAGAAGCCCGGCUUGAAGCUCAACUUGAGAUGAAAUUGAUGGCACGCCUAGCUGGGAACUCUAAUCAGCGUGGAGGCUACACACGCAGGUACAUCAGUAGAGAUCAUGAAGACGAUCACAACAGGUUAUUUGCUAAAUAUUUUUCAGACAAUCCUUUGUACACCGAUGAUCAAUUCCGUAGGAGAUUUCGCAUGAGGAGGCAUCUUUUUUUGCACAUUGUACAAGCUCUUGGCGAGUGGUCUCCAUAUUUUUGUCUUAGGACAGAUGCAUUUGGAAAGGUGGGUCUUUCACCAUUUCAAAAAUGCACUGCUGCCAUGCGAAUGUUGGCAUAUGGUACUCCAGCUGAUCUUAUGGAUGAGACUUUUGGGGUAGCUGAAAGCACAGCAAUGGAGUGUAUGAUCAAUUUUGUUCAAGGUGUGAGGCACAUAUUUGGUAAACAAUAUUUACGUAGGCCUACCGAAGAGGAUAUUCAACGCUUACUUCAGUUUGGAGAGGCACAUGGAUUUCCUGGCAUGUUGGGUAGUGUUGAUUGCAUGCAUUGGGAAUGGCAAAAUUGUCCGGUUGCAUGGAAGGGACAAUUCACACGUGGUGAUUAUGGGGUACCCACUAUCAUGCUUGAAGCGGUUGCCUCAAAAGACUUAUGGAUUUGGCAUGCUUUUUUUGGUGCCGCUGGUUCAAAUAAUGAUAUUAAUGUGUUAGACCAAUCCCCAUUAUUUACUGAUGUCCUACAAGGAAGAGCACCUCCUGUUCAAUAUACUCUCAAUGAGUCAGAUUACAACAUGGGAUACUAUCUAGCUGAUGGUAUCUAUCCAGAGUGGGCAACAUUUGCCAAAUCAAUCAUCAGACCACAGAGCGCUAAGCAUAAAUUGUAUGCACAACAUCAGGAAUCAGCUAGAAAAGAUGUGGAAAGAGCCUUUGGGGUUCUACAGAAACGUUGGGCCAUAAUACGUCACCCGGCAAGAGUUUGGGAAAGAGAAGAGCUAGCAGAUAUAAUGUAUAGUUGUAUUAUUUUGCCCAACAUGAUAGUUGAGGAUGAGAAAGGUUCCUAUGACAUACCGGAUGACAAAACAUAUGAACAAGGUCAAUUCUCUGCUCAGAUAACAGGACUUGACCACGGACCAAUAUAUGGAUUUGCAGAGGUACUAGAGAAAAACAGGGCUAUUCGUGAUCGAUCUACACAUCGGCGUCUCAAGGAAGAUUUGAUAGAGCACAUCUGGCAGAAAUUUGGAGGUCAACCACAACAAGAUUAGAGUGUAUUAACUUACUAUCAACCUUGUACUUUACUAUUUUCAUAUCAACCUUGUACUGUAAUAUUUUCAUGUCAACAGAUUUGGCUCAAUUACUUGUUUUUGCAAUAUACUUGUAUUACUUUGCAAUCUACCAGAUUUGUCUCAAAGCACUUAUCUUAAUAUGUCACAUAUUGAACCAGAACAAACAAGAAACAAAUAAUCACACAUGAACAGUGAGGCAUAAAAUACAUGCAAGUGGGUGAAAGGGGGCUUACCAAAUGGUCUACUUUGCAAUCUACACCGAUCUUUCAGAUCCGAUGCACAUAGCCUCCGGAUGAGGACUAGAAGCCGAAGCCGACGCCUCCCAUGACCUAUUCAGCCUCCACAACGAUGGCGGAAAUUUGGGGGGAAGAACCCGUCGAUGCGCCUG